rnacentral:rRNA from 1 species
AUUGAACGCUGGCGGCAGGCCUAACACAUGCAAGUAGAGCGGAGCAGCGGACGGGUGAGUAAUGACUAGGAAUCUGCCUGGUAGUGGGGGAUAACGUCCGGCAACGGGCGCUAAUACCGCAUACUAUCAGAUGAGCCGAGGUCGGAUUAGCUAGUUGGUGGGGUAAAGGCCGACCAAGGCGACGAUCCGUAACUGGUCUGAGAGGAUGAUCAGUCACACUGGAACGGAGACACGUGCCGGAGUCCUACGGGAGUCAGCAGUGGGGAAUAUUUGGCAAUGGGCGAAAGCCUGAUCCAGCCAUGCCGCGUGUGUGAAGAAGGUCUUCGGAUUGUAAAGCACUUUAAGUUUGGAGGCGUUACCAACAGAAUAAGCACCGGCUAACUUCGUGCCAGCAGCCGCGGUAAUUC